GAGAGUUUUGUUUUGUGAUUCUUAAAGCCCAAACUGAGAAUGAUCAUUAUAUAAGAAUUAAUUUCUUCUUGUAGGAAGACACUACUGUUGGCCCGACAGCUUAAAGACCGAGCUGUAGAAGCACAGUCUUGUUACAGUCUUGGAAAUACAUAUACUUUACUUCAAGACUAUGAAAAGGCCAUUGAUUAUCAUCUGAAGCACUUAGCAAUUGCUCAAGAGCUGAAUGAUAGGUAUGUUUUACGUCUUUUUACCAUAACUAAGGUAAAAUAUAGAUGCAUUAUUGAAUCCCUAGAAUUUUUCCUUUGUUUCUUUUCCUUUGUUUUCCUUAAAAUCCCUUUUAAGGAAUUUUCUUUCAGUGAUAUCCUCUGUAUAUCAUUGUAUGAAGGGCUAGUCUGUGAUAGAGGAUUAGUCUGGUUCCAU
rnacentral:lncRNA from 1 species